rnacentral:lncRNA from 1 species
GCCCUUUAAACUUCGCUAGAUAAAUUUAUUGAACCUAUUUAACUAUAUUAAAAAUAUAGUUAAUUCCUAUUUGAUAAAUUCAAUUAUAAUGAAAGAAGACUAUAGAUCAUAUGAUUAGUCCAACAGGCUACCCAGGUACAGGAACAGUUCAGGACCUCCUAGUCGAGGGUCAAUAUGAAUCCAUGUGACAAGCAGACAGAACUUGAUACUAAGGUUCAUAGGUCUUCUUAGAGAGAAAGUGGAGAGAGAGUCUUUGUAUCCCUCAAAAGAGAAAAUCAUGAUCGAGAUCAUCAGGGGU